rnacentral:lncRNA from 1 species
CUUCAGUCCAGAUCUUCUGUUAAGACCUACUAACAGCUACAGCUCUUUAAUGGAAACAGUUAUGCAGGAGAAGACCAGAAGGAUCAUUUGAAAAGAGGACCAGACCAUAUGUUUGGACCCAGAUUUCUCCACUAGCAUUCUGUGCUAUUUUUGGGACCUUAUUUUUAGAAGUAGAGAUGCAGCAAAUGAUGAACUGCUGAUUUACUGAAUCCCCGAAGUAGUCAUUUCCAAUCUGAACACUGGGGGAAAAGAACUGGCAUUUAAC